rnacentral:rRNA from 1 species
UGGGGAAUAUUGCACAAUGGGCGCAAGCCUGAUGCAGCCAUGCCGCGUGUAUGAAGAAGGCCUUCGGGUUGUAAAGUACUUUCAGCGAGGAGGAAGGCGGUAAGGUUAAUAACCUUAUCGAUUGACGUUACUCGCAGAAGAAGCACCGGCUAACUCCGUGCCAGCAGCCGCGGUAAUACGGAGGGUGCAAGCGUUCAUCGGAAUUACUGGGCGUAAAGCGCACGCAGGCGGUCUGUCAAGUCGGAUGUGAAAUCCCCGGGCUCAACCUGGGAACUGCAUUCGAAACUGGCAGGCUAGAGUCUUGUAGAGGGGGGUAGAAUUCCAGGUGUAGCGGUGAAAUGCGUAGAGAUCUGGAGGAAUACCGGUGGCGAAGGCGGCCCCCUGGACAAAGACUGACGCUCAGGUGCGAAAGCGUGGGGAGCAAACA